CACUGUCAUUAGAGUUUACAGUGACUAUUCGUAACGAUGAAUUGUGAUUUUGACAGUAAAGUCGAUAAACGGGAUUCCUACUAAUGGAGGUUAUCGGCAGAAUUGUUAUCGGUUAUUGACUCAGAUCAACAGCGACUAAAAUACAAAAGUCCAGUUGCAUUUGCCUUAAGUAACCUGCAGUUGGUUAGAUGAAACGUAAUUGAUAAUGAUAGGCAGAGCAUGUCGCACGAUGCGCAUGCGGAUGCUUAUCGCACUUGUGUGAGACCAGCGAGUGGGAACUAUAAUCAUUAUACAAUUGCGUAUAACGAGAUUACUGCGGGUUCCAAAUGACGGUAUUACGAAAACGAAGCUCAAAAAGUGUUUGUACAGUAUGGUACGCAUGGAUUGAUCAUUGAUAGAACACAGUGAUGAAUAUACCAGAAAGUUUUAGAAAAUAUUUUAUGUGCACUAGAGAGAAGAUAGCCAAGCUUUCACUCAGGAUUAUUUCCUUAGGUCAAACGAACACAAAGCGUCCAGUCAAUCAUUCCAGACGGCAGAUUAAAAUUAUCCAAAUAUUCAGAAGCGAUACAAAAGGCAUGAAAUGCUUCUUAAAUAUAGCCAAAAUAUCCUGAAAUUAUUACAGACAAAUUCUCAUUGUUGAUUACCAUAUUGCCAAAUGUUUUGUUUAAAAUAAUAAUCAGUUUCAAGAUUUUCCGGAGAGCAGAAAUAUUUCAAGGAUUUAGAUUGACAUUUUCAAGCUUCUCCGCUAGAUGGCAGAACGUAAGACAAUAAACCCAAAUACCAAGCGCUCGCUCGACUGUAUACAUUAUCGUAACGUUUUUUACAUGAUGAACUUCAAUUUAAAAUGCGUCAAGGUAGCACAGGAAUAACCUUCAGUUUUUUUUUAACUUCUGCAGUCUAAUCAGAUUAUUUUCACGCUAAGAUCAAAGCGAUUGAUGAAUGAAAUGAUUUCAUAAGAAUUACCCAAGAUAGGAACACGACGUACGUUUCUCGUUAUUGCAGAAAAAUUGUAUAAGGAAACUUGUGGGAUACUUUGUUCAACGUAUUCGAUUCAAAAGGAUAAGGAUUGUCAUUUAUGAACACAGUUAUGUUGAAUAAAUAUCUAUUGGGCGUGAACAAUAAUUUACAGGACAUGGAGGAAGAAGUAAAAAAUAUCGUUGAGAUAAGUUGCAUGUAAACCCCUUGUAGUAGUUUGAGGAAAAAUAUUGGACGAGAAAAUGUCCUGGAUGAGGAAAUGUCCUGGACGAGGAAAUGUCCUGAACAAAGAAGUGUCAUGGACAAAAAAAGUAUGCUAAACCAUGAAAUAUUCUGGGCGAGGAAGUGGCAUCCAGUGAAAUGUCCAUAACUUAUUUUUCAUAGAAAAUAAUUGUAGAAAAAAAAAGGAAUUAAGUAAACCAGAUAUUUCGUAACUCCAAACUGCUAAGCUCACUAAGAAAUCCAAAGGUCUGACGUCCGACCAUUCACAACCAUAAACCCUGAAUAGACUAGGGCGCAUAUCGAAUAACCAUAAUACGUACGUUUUAUCAUAUUUAAUUAUCCUCAGUACGUUCUAGAAUGAUUUUACUCGUGAAGCAUAUACCUCGUUCAUUGUUAUCGUAAAGUCACCUGAUAUCACCUGAUAAUCCUGACAAAAGUCAUUAACCUUCCUGCGCCGAGAUGAGAAUGUAAAUAGAAAAAAGUAUAUACAACAAAUGUUUCUUUUUCUUCAGAAAUUAUUAAUUCAUGACGAUAAAGACACUCGCAAAAGAAUAAUCGAGACUAAGAACGAAUGACUCAUGUUACACUCACCAGCCCUGAACGGAUGUGACAAUAUCAUUUAUCAGUAACUAUUUAAAUAAAUGAGCAAAUAUUAAGUAAUCAAAGACCUUGCGUAAUUAUAAUUUUGCAACAGAACAGUAGCCAUUUCUAUGACACACUAAGCUAAAUAAACAACAAAAAUUCAACAACGAUCCGAAACCCCAGACGUUCUGUUCUAAGCAUUGUACGGUACGAGUAUUUACAAAGCAUACAAUCAGGUACGAAUACACAAAAUUGUGUAGAUCAACUUUCUUCGAUGGAUCCAUGCAAGGUAAAAGUAUAAUAACAAUAAUAAUAACGUUCAAGGUCACCCAUUUUCAAAUACCAUCACGAGGAUAAGACCCAGAGACAUGGCGUUAGGAAUGUGACCUACAUGACGAAAAGGCCGUCAUACACGCUCAAGUUUUCCACCGUGAACGUUAAUUAUUGACAAGUAAAAAAUACGUGAUAAGUUAAAAGAGGAACAGUCACCCAAAGCGUUAAGAACCGAAAGGGCCGCAUGGCGUUUUGACCUGAAUGUGGCUGCACCUAGGUAAACAAAGCGGCCAAUUCCCAACCGACAUUGAGCGGUCGUUUGACUUUUUCUACUGAGAAGCGUCCAUCUUUAUUCGUGCCUGAAACCCAAUGGCCAAUCGGUUCCCGUGUGGCCGACGCAGUAGACACCUAACCUACUUAAGCGUCGCUCUCUCCGUCCCUGACGUCAGCGACUUCCAUUGCCAGUAACUUCACCGAGAGGAGCUUCCCUACCUUCAAUUUUCCAUAGCACUUUGGAACGUGUUGUAACUUUGCCAUUGAGAAGUUACAGAUAUACGUAUACUUAGAAGGGUUAAUUAGAACGUAAAGAGGAUAACUGAUGGAUUGAUAGUUUUGUGCUGGUAGUGGAUUUAACGGAACAAGCUACUUGGUGAGAAUUGCAAAGACCGUUAUUACGACGCUGGGAACUCGAGCUGGUCGGAAGUCGUGCGUGAGUCGUGGGAAAAUUUAUGGAUAUUUUGAGCACGUGUUCUUUACAGGCCUACUGCUUCAACACAUCGGAAUUUGCAUGUCUGAUCUGACGGCUCGACGAUACAAAUGUUUGGAUAUCUGUUUAAUUGUUUGGGAGAGAAAUGGGUUAUUGGAGUUUUUUCUUAAAUGAUCUGAUUAGUCAGUUUUGUUUCCUAUGUUACGAGUAUGUGCUGGGUGUAACUAAAUAUGUACUUGCUAAAAUUGAUAAUAAUAUAUUUCGUAUAACAUUCUGUGAUUGCAAGAGGCAAUACUUGUCUCUUGAAAUAAAUACAAGGUAUACUUGAUCAGUAUAAAUUUUAUUAAUACUUCCGUCGUGUACGUGGAUAUUACAGAAUUAUGUUUUGACAUUGAGACAAUUAUACAAUAAGAG